GAUGAAGAACGUAGCGAAAUGCGAUACGUAGUGUGAAUUGCAGAAUUCAGUGAAUCAUCGAAUCUUUGAACGCACAUUGCGCCCUUUGGUAUUCCAAAGGGCAUGCCUGUUCGAGCGUCAUUUGUACCCUCAAGCUUUGCUUGGUGUUGGGCGUCUUUUUGUCUCCCCUUGCGGGAGACUCGCCUUAAAGUCAUUGGCAGCCGGCCUACUGGUUUCGGAGCGCAGCACAAGUCGCGCUCUCUUCCAGCCCCAAGGUCUAGCAUCCAACAAGCCUUUUUUUCAACUUUUGACCUCGGAUCAGGUAGGGAUACCCGCUGAACUUAAGCAUAUCAAUAAGCGGAGGA
rnacentral:misc_RNA from 1 species